GUGGCUAUAGCUCAGCUGGCAGAGCAUCGGAUUGUGGUUCCGAGUGUCGUGGGUUCGAGCCCCACUAGUCACCCCA
rnacentral:tRNA from 1 species